rnacentral:rRNA from 1 species
UACGUAGGGGGCAAGCGUUGUCCGGAAUCAUUGGGCGUAAAGAGCGUGUAGGCGGCCCGGUAAGUCCGCUGUGAAAGUCCAGGGCUCAACCCUGGGAUGCCGGUGGAUACUGUCGGGCUCGAGUCCGGAAGAGGAGUGUGGAAUUCCUGGUGUAGCGGUGAAAUGCGCAGAUAUCAGGAGGAACACCAAUGGCGAAGGCAGCACUGUGGGACGUGACUGACGCUGAGACGCGAAAGCGUGGGGAGCAAACAGG